rnacentral:snRNA from 1 species
GUAUUGCUUCGGCUGUACAUAUACUAAAGUUGGAACGAUACAGAGAAGAUUGACUUGGCCCCUGCGCAAGGAUGACACACAAAAUCGUGAAGCGUUCCACAUUUUU